rnacentral:misc_RNA from 1 species
GCAUAGUUUAAAACUGCUCCUUUUCAGUUAAAAUGGACUCAUUUUGCACCCAUAUAAAGGACAGAAAUGUUGUUUCCAAGCAAGAGGCAUGAUGUGACAUUCUGUAAGUUAACUUUGCCUCUUUUACGCAUAGCAUAUGUAAGUUGAAUAAGAACAAAUGAAACAAUAAUGAAUCUAUGAAUGUUACAAGCUACUAUUUUAUUCUGUAAAACACAUGCACUCUUUACAUCGUGGAAACCGGUAAACACUCCUUGCCACAGGCCUUUCAAAAACGUGUUUAGUUUGUCUGACUGCCUUCCUAACUCUUUGCUCAAACACUUUCCAUGCUAUAGUGGAGUUUUUCAUGAAUAUGGCCGCAAGUCUCCGCUUGUUUGGCCGUAUUGUCGGCAUUCUCCCUCCACCAUAAUAAGUUCGAUAUCCAGCGACCAAAGAUGACAGCUGACUCCCUGAGUCUGUCAUGGCAAAUGCAUCAGCAGCAGUGCAUGCUAUGAAGUCCAGUGCAGCUAGCUGCAGAAGAAAUGAGCUCAUCAUGCGUUGGUACAGUAAAAAAGAAACGAAGUCCAUUGACAAUAACACAAUUUAUGAUAUGAACCAUUUAAUGGUAUUGCGAGAUUACUAAAGGAGAAGCCCCUAUAGUUAUUGGCAGCAAGCUGAGUAGAGAGCUGAAAUAGGACCAUAGAAUGCAAAAAGGGUGAAUCCCUCAGCCAGAAAGUUUCUCAAGAGAAAGUACCAAUAUCCAACUUAGAAACUCCAAAUAUUCCCUGGACGAUUGGAAGGCUACAUUCAUGGUCCUAGGGCAUCCUACACUCUCAUUAGAAAGACCUAUCACUCAGUACAAAAAAGUUUAUGGUAGAUUCCAAACUUAAAGUGAAGGCCAUUUCCAGGUUAUGCUUCUGCCAAACAGGUCCUGGGAAGAGAAGAUUUUGAAAGAUCCCUACCCUUUAUGGAAUGAACUGGCUGCACUUGUAACUAAAACCCAUUAACUUGUAAAGCAUUAAUGGUGUCACAAUUCAUUUUUCCCUAGAUUUUUGCAUAAAAAUUAUUCUUCACUCCAACUAGUGCAUUAGAAUAAAUAUUGCAGAAAACAAAAGCAAAACUAAACUAGAAAACAAAAGAGAUUAGUCUCACUUUGUUACCUGAGAUGAAAAGUUCAAGAAUGGCUCAAGUUCAGUUGCUGAAAGCAGUUUCUCUUUAGUAACUAAAUUAGGAUACAAGCUGGUUAAAGCAGCUAACCUUGGUUGUCCCCCAUAUAUAUUUGCACCAGCCACAAAUAUAUGUGUCUUCCGGUUGAAACCAAGAGCAGCAAGCAUAAGUACUGCUUCUUCAGGUGUCAAUGGACACAGGCCUUCUGACCUGAGCACUGAUGGAGAAGGUAGCCUGCAACAAUUAAAACAAUUUACCUAGAAUAUAUUGUAGAUGGGUUUCCUUCCAAAAGAUAUAGCGAACAAAUGGAUAUGAGCUCUUCAACAAUUUUUUUUUUUAUGACAAAUUUUACUUCAUGUGGAAGAAUAUUAGAAAAUGAAGCAUGCUAAUCCUAUUUGGACACCAAAAAUAGAAAUGUGCUAGAAUCACAGUCCAUUUUCACAUGGCAGGUAUGGGAGGAAUAAGAAUUCCAAAAGUGGGCUUGACCAUGUAUGUGCCCCUAAAACUCAUUGGAUAAGAUAACAGAAAGUACAAGUCCACCAUCCAUUCAUCAGUAAGUCUAUAUAACAAAACUAUAAAAAUAAAAGGGCAAUAGAAAUGAAAGAAAUAAAAUUCAAAGCAACUUAUCAACUGCUGCAGAUAGCAAUUAUGCAUGGUAAAAGCACCUUUGGAUCUAGCAAACUAUAAGACAUGAAGACAUGCUGAUAUGUAUAUAAAUUAAUAUGUACGAGUAGCAGAACAGCAAAAAAUUGCAGAAGUGCAUACCUUUUUGUAUUCUCAAUAAGUGCCAAUGCAGGGAAAUGAAUUGCACGGUAUGCUUCCAACACUUUUCUCUCUUCUUCACCACCACCAUAUUCACAUAAAGAAUGUGCUACCAUGUCAAUUUCAAACCUCAGAUGUAAAGCUAGAUAUCUUGAAGCUUUUCCAGCAUGAACCCCUUUUUCUUUCACAUUUGAUUUUGUGUAUGGACCGACAAGAUAAUGAUCCAAUGGUCCAGGAUGAGAUGCAUGUUUGUGCAACCUUUGAAGGAGCAAAGCACCAGUUUGUUGUAUUUUGGGAACAAAUUGCAGUGCAUGAAAGUUACAUCUGCAUCGAAGUCUCUGCAACUGAAAUGGUAUUGGAUCAAAUGCCAAGCGAUUUCCAAAUCCAAUGAAAUGGACAACUCUAUUUUUCAGCAAAAUAGGAAGAAUAUUUUUCAGAUAAAACCUUGGCUUAGACUCCUUCCUAAUAUCUACAUCAGUCACCUGAUCAACAUUUGCAAUUCAUUAUUAUAAACACUUGCUGGAACUAAAAUCAUUUCAACUAAGAAAUGUUCAAAAUUAAUUGAGAUAUCAAACUCACAACACUACCAAUCGCCUCCAAGUCUAGUGAUUGCAGGUCCUCAGGAAGUUCCUUCACUAUCCGAAUAUCAGGAGUCAGGUAAUUAAUAAAAUGCUCCUCCUGAUAGAUAUCGCUGAAUUGACUAUGAAAUAUAACAUUUGACAUAGUUAAUUACUUUUUCAUUGAAAUGAUAUAAUCAUAUGCAACAGUUACUACUUUUCCACCAAAACCACACAAUCAUAAAUGAGAGUUUCCAAGAAGGGGGAUGAAAAAAGAAGAGAGUUGGGGCGAUAGCCAAGGCAUUCACAAUAUUAUUAUAAUGCCGCUUAUUUGAAGUAAGAAUUUUUUCCAUGAGGUUACUAAAAGAAACCAACUUCAAGCUUAGCAGUGAAGCGAUCUAAAAACUAUCAGGGCAGCAAUAAUAUAGAUAGAUAAUUAUAGUCUAUCCAACAAUCAAUAGUUUGUUUUCACUUAAGGGGGAAAAGGUGUGAAGAUAUGAAUACAAAUGAAUUUUAAAGAAGGGGGAAAAUGUUACCUCACAUCUCUCCAGACGCUACUGUACAUAAAUUUAGGAACAACAAGAGUUGAAUUCAGCAACCGUGCAACAACAACAGCAUUGCAAACCUGUUUUCAAACAAGUAAGAACUAAGUUUGAACCAAUUGAAAAUCAUAAACAAAAUAACAUAUGUUAAACCUUCAGAAGCAAAGAGGAAGCAUACAAAAUUAUGAGAUUGGGCCUCAUAAGAAAACUCAUGUAAGCUGUAAUUGGUCGCAGGCAUUACUUACAGCUACUCUCUGCUGGUUCAUCCCACCAUUUGCUGUGACCAUUAUAUAACCGUUUUUUCCCCCACUAGGAUCCCAGUUGCGUUGAUCAGCACAAGGUAUCCAAGCGGAGGCCUCAACAAAUGGUUCCUGCCACAAAUCUUUUGGCUCGCGUUUAUUCUCUGCCAAGGCAUGGGCAGCCAAAGCCAACAUCCUUUCAUAACUACCUUUCUGCGUCUUUUUUCCUUUGCUAAGCUUUCCCCAUUUUUCCUGCACACAUUCCAAGUAUAUAAAUAACAAUACUCUAGCAGCAUAGGCUUACUUACAAAUGAAGGUCCCUCCCUUCCACACUAAUUUAGCUAGAAUUCUGAAACACCGCCUUGCUCCGAAUAACAGAAAAGCCCCUUUUUUUAUUUCAUUUUCCCUGAAUUGGUAAAGCUUUUUGGAAACCAAGAUCGAAGGAGGAGAAUUUUGAGAAGAAUAGUUUUGGAGGUCAGCCACUCGAUGGUCUUGAAGCCGCAAAAGCAUGAACCAAUUAACAAAGAAAAACAAACCCACUAAUCCAAUCACAGCCACCAGUCCCUUCACUUUCUUCCUUUGAUACCACAGCCUCCCGCCUUUUCUCUUCACCGUCCUAUUUACUUGCCUCUGUUUCUGAUCCCGCAAAAAACAGAACAAAAUUGACGACGAAAAUGGCUUGCCGUGUCGAUUAUCUAAAUAUAAGUCAUUGUUUAGUAACCUAGAGGAACUGAGUCGAGGUGAUUGACUAGGCGACGAUUGAUGGCUCAUAGAGGUGGCAGAAUUGGAGCGGGAGUGGAAAAAACAACUACUCUCGGUUCGAUCUGAAACCAACAUAUCUGAAAGCUGAGGGUAUUCUUUUUGGAGAAGGUUUGAGAGAUCAGAUGAUGAAUCCAUCUGGGUUUAAAUUGAAAUUUUAAAGUUGGAAAGAGAGGUUGCUUUAUGACAAGGAGAGCUCCUUGCUCGCUUUGCUAAAAAUUGAAGGAACUGUCUGAAUUUCAGGUCAUUUAAUUUUCUCUUUGUUGUCCUGAAAUGUCUUGAGAUAAAAAUGGUGUGCUG